rfam:Homo sapiens chromosome 6, GRCh38 reference primary assembly.
GCCGGGCAUGAUAGUGGGUGCCUGUAAUCCCAGCUAUUUGGGAGGCUGAGGCAGGAAAAUCGCUUGAACCCGGGAGGCGGAGGCUGCAAUGAGCCGAGAUGGCGCCAUGGCACUCCAGGCUGGGUGACAGAGCGAGACUCCGUCUUGAAAAAAAUGACAUCACUAUACUUCACAUGGGCUCAUUUAUUGUCAUUAUUAUUAUUAUUUUUUGAGACAGAGUCUCACUCUGUCGCCCAGGCUGGAGUGCAGAGGUGUGAUCUCGGCUCACUGCAACCUCCACCUCCCGGGUUCAAGUGAUUCUCCUGCCUCAG